AAAUUGAAGAGUUUGAUCAUGGCUCAGAUUGAACGCUGGCGGCAGGCCUAACACAUGCAAGUCGAACGGUAACAGGAAGCAGCUUGCUGCUUUGCUGACGAGUGGCGGACGGGUGAGUAAUGUCUGGGAAACUGCCCGAUGGAGGGGGAUAACUACUGGAAACGGUGGCUAAUACCGCAUAACGUCGCAAGACCAAAGAGGGGGACCUUCGGGCCUCUUGCCAUCAGAUGUGCCCAGAUGGGAUUAGCUUGUUGGUGAGGUAACGGCUCACCAAGGCGACGAUCCCUAGCUGGUCUGAGAGGAUGACCAGCCACACUGGAACUGAGACACGGUCCAGACUCCUACGGGAGGCAGCAG
rnacentral:rRNA from 1 species